UUGAUGAACAGACCAAUAAGGAAUGUGUAGCCUCAUACUGAAAAUCCCAGGGUAAAAUAAGACCUCACUAGGAUCCUGACAUGAGACAAGGAGAAAUGCCAGAACACUAAUUCUCUAAUUCAAAGCUUCUCAUUCUGACACUUCUAAGAUGUGGCUGUGCACUGGAUCUUGGAGAUGCAAAUGUCAGAGAAAGAUAUGUGAGCUGUAGGUCCUGGCCAAGGAGGUGACAUUCAGGAUGCCCUUUCCAUCACAUGCCAAAGCAGCCGAACAGCUUCAGUUACGGCAAUGGAAGGGAAUGGAAACAGCAAAAGCUAACACCAGCAGAAGAAAUCUGGGCAAUAGAUUCUGGUGAAAGAAAUUACUCAAUUUGGGAUGCCCUGUCUAUCAACCAUCAAAGCAGCUGAGGAGUUCCUGUUACAGAGCAGAAGACUACAAAAUGUGCCCUAUGCAAUGGGAUGCAGACUUUGACCGAGAUAACCCAUUGCUGAGAUUCUGCACUCUUCAGCAAGGGCUUGAUCUUGAAGAACAGCUUCAUCCAGGGCCAGUGCUUGACAUUCAUGAAUGCACGAAUGUUGUACUGGAUGCAGUAAAUGGACUCUCUGAAUGUCUUGACAGUGACCUUUCCUGUUUCUCUGCUCUGGAUUGUACCUUUCACAAAGGAUUCCUUAGGAUGCACCACAAAGACGGAUGACUUGGCAUCAAAAGAAUGUGGACCCAGGUGUGUAAUAUGCAGAAGACACAUGGUCACAGAGCUCUGAGCAUUCAGCCAAGAGAAGGUCCAGUUUGAAAGAGAAGUGGCUGAUGCACUGUAAGACAAAAAUAAUCUUGGUGGCUUGGACCAGCAAAAGUACAGGGUCCUGACUGAAUUUGGUAUUAAACAGUCCAGUGACAUUCAAACUGAAUAUCAAAGCUAUUCUAGCAGCUCCCCUGGGAGAAUCAGCAUUCGAAUACCUCUUUUGGACAGUCAGAACAAGAAGGGUGGUAUUCAACUGGAAUCAGAAGCAAACCACAGGACAGUUAAAAGAGAAGAAAUGGAUUGGAAACCAUCUUCAGAUACAGACUGUCCUGAACAACAAUGCCAGUCAGUAAAGCACACAUUAGUGUGGAGGAUAUUCAGUUGUGCUGAAAAUAAGUCUUUCUUGAGACAGA